CUGCAAAGUAGGAGGGGUUUCCUCUAAGAGGGGGAAAUUCAGCUCUUAGAUGGGGGAAAAUGAAAAAAAAAAUCAGAAAUAUAUAUAUUUUUUAUGUUGGAGGCAUUUCUGCUGCUCCUUGGCAGGAAAGAAAGAAGGAGAAUGUUGACGGGUAUUCUUUCUUCCAAAGUGCACUGUGUAUAGGAAGGCCUCUCCAUGCUCCGUGUUCCUUCUCUUGUUCCUGGAAGGGCAACUCCUCAACACUUCUGCCUUCCAACCAGCUGGGCAGAAGAGGAAGACCUUGGACCCUCCUUCAGGACUGGGAAGCACCCAGGGGCACCUUACGCGAGGAGGGUUGUGGUCCUGGAGGGGAGAAGAUGCUUCUUGGAAGAGACUUUCCUGUUCUGGCCAGGCUGCUGCUCCUCCUCAGCCCUCAGGUCCCUCAGGGGCAGUGCUGGUCUUUGAUGGGCUGUUCCUGGCACUUCAGGUGGUUCUCCCUGACUUCCCGCCACACCUCCCUCCCACAGCUCUCCUCCUGA
rnacentral:lncRNA from 1 species